rnacentral:tRNA from 1 species
UGCGGCGUGGAGCAGUGGUCAGCUCGCCAGGCCCAUAACUUGGAAGUCGCAGGUUCAAAUCCUGCCGCCGCCAC